GCCUGGGUGGCUCAGUUGGUUGAGUGUCUGACUUUGGCUCAGGUCAUGAUCUCACCAUUCAUGAGUUUGAGCCCCAUGUCAGGCU
rnacentral:tRNA from 1 species